AAAUCGGUGUUUUUCAACACCACCAAUGAACGCCAGGAGGCUUCAG
rfam:Gonium pectorale scaffold00021, whole genome shotgun sequence.